GAUGAAGAACGUAGCGAAAUGCGAUACUUGGUGUGAAUUGCAGAAUCCCGUGAACCAUCGAGUCUUUGAACGCAAGUUGCGCCCGAAGCCAUCAGGUUGAGGGCACGUCUGCCUGGGCGUCACAUAUCGUUGCUCGAUGCCUAUCGCAUUGCGAUAGGACUUAGGGCGAAUGAUGGCUUCCCGUGAGCGUUGUUGCCUCGCGGUUGGUUGAAAAUCGAGUCCUUGGUAGGGUGUGCCAUGAUAGAUGGUGGUCGAGUUAGCACGAAACCGAUCAUGUGCAUGCUCCCCAAAAUAUGGCCUCUGUGACCCACAAGCGUCUUUUGACGCUCAUGACGAGACCUCAGGUCAGGCGGGGCUACCCGCUGAAUUUAAGAAUAUCAAUAAGCGGAGGA
rnacentral:misc_RNA from 1 species